rnacentral:misc_RNA from 1 species
GCAAACUUGGUCAUUUAGAGGAAGUAAAAGUCGUAACAAGGUUUCCGUAGGUGAACCUGCGGAAGGAUCAUUGCCGAACGGACGCGCGCCCUCCGCCCUCCUCGCUUCCGCGAGUGGCGAGUCGGCCGCGUCUCAUCGCACACCCAUGUGAACUCGUGAUCGUGACCCUGGACGGCGACCUCGGCCUCGCGGUCGGUCGGUCGCCGAUCCGGCUCCCUUCUCACAAACCACCGAUACCACGCUCUUGACUGAGACUCAUCGGGAGUCGCGUGCAACCCACGCGUCGCUCUCGAAACAAGACAUAACCUAUCACAACUUUUAACAACGGAUAUCUUGGCUCGCGCAUCGAUGAAGAACGCAGC